CAGCAGCCGCGGGAAUACAGAGGGUGCGAGCGUUAAUCGGAUUUACUGGGCGUAAAGCGUGCGUAGGCGGCUUUUUAAGUCGGAUGUGAAAUCCCUGAGCUUAACUUAGGAAUUGCAUUCGAUACUGGGAAGCUAGAGUAUGGGAGAGGAUGGUAGAAUUCCAGGUGUAGCGGUGAAAUGCGUAGAGAUCUGGAGGAAUACCGAUGGCGAAGGCAGCCAUCUGGCCUAAUACUGACGCUGAGGUACGAAAGCAUGGGGAGCAAACAGGAUUAGAUAUCCCAGUAGUCCCUGUCUCUUAUAA
rnacentral:rRNA from 1 species